GACGAACGCUGGCGGCGUGCUUAACACAUGCAAGUCGAACGGAAAGGCCCUGCUUUUGUGGGGUGCUCGAGUGGCGAACGGGUGAGUAACACGUGAGUAACCUGCCCUUGACUUUGGGAUAACUUCAGGAAACUGGGGCUAAUACCGGAUAUGAGCUCCUGCUGCAUGGUGGGGGUUGGAAAGUUUCGGCGGUUGGGGAUGGACUCGCGGCUUAUCAGCUUGUUGGUGGGGUAGUGGCUUACCAAGGCUUUGACGGGUAGCCGGCCUGAGAGGGUGACCGGCCACAUUGGGACUGAGAUACGGCCCAGACUCCUACGGGAGGCAGCAGUGGGGAAUAUUGCACAAUGGGCGGAAGCCUGAUGCAGCAACGCCGCGUGCGGGAUGACGGCCUUAGGGUUGUAAACCGCUUUCGCCUGUGACGAAGCGUGAGUGACGGUAAUGGGUAAAGAAGCACCGGCUAACUACGUG
rnacentral:rRNA from 1 species